rnacentral:rRNA from 1 species
AUGAGCUGCGAGAUGAGCCGCCGGCGCCGCCGCCGUCCAUCCUCGCCGGCAGCCGCGCCGCCGCUGGAGGACGAGAACCUCCUUUCUGAGAUCCUCCUCCGCCUCCCCCCAGAUCCGUCCUCCGUCGUCUCCAAGCGUUGGCGACGCCUCAUCUCCGACCCCGGCUUCUCCCGCCGCUUCCGCCUCCACCACCACCGCAACCCUCCUCUCAUCGGGUCCUUCAGCCAUUUAUACUUUGCAUCUAGCAUGGAGGCCCCCAAUCGUGUCCCGGAUGGCCACUUUUGCUUGCAGGUCGACGAAGACGAGGUCAACGACAACUUCAUAUGCCUCGGGUGCCGCCAUGGCCUCGUGCUCAUCUUCCAUGUGAGGCGGCUCCAGGUCCUGGUGUGGGACCCCGUCACCAGCGAACUGCAUCGCAUUGCCACUCCCCCGGGAUUCGAUGCGAAGAAGGUGCCGAUCAGUGGGGCGGUGCUUCGCGCUGCUGGAGACAUCCAACACUUCCAGGUGGUAUUGGUAACCACGGAGACAGACGACCAACAGCAUACACGAGCGAUGGCUCAGGUUUACUCGUCGGAGACUGGCGAAUGGGGUGAUAUCUUCUCAACAAUGCUUCCACCCAAGGCUUCUAGGCACGAACUUCCCACCAUGAUCGCAAUAGAAUCUCCUGCUGUCCUAGUUGGGCACUCCCUUUACUGGUUGCUUACUGACAGUCGGGCUGGCAUCCUCAAGUUUGAUCUGGAUAGGCAGAGCUUAAGCGUGAUACAUGUGCCAGUGAAUAUCUAUGCUAAUGGUAAUUGGCAAUUCGCGGUUAUGCCGGCGGAGGGUGGUGGGCUUGGUGGCCUCUUUCUGUCAAAAUUCACUGCCCAAUUAUGGAAGUGGAAGGCCGGUUCUGAUGGUGUUGCGUCAUGGGUGCUGGGAAAAACCAUUGAGCUAGACAAGCUACUUUCCAUUAGUUCAAAGAAGAGAGGGCCUCCGAUGGUAGUAGGGUUUGCUGAGGACAAUAAUGUGGUGUUCCUGUGGACAGAAAUGGACGUGUUCACGAUCCAGCUUCAGUCAUUGCAGUUCAAGAACCUUGGUGAAACUAACUUCUUGUCUCGCUAUCAUCCACUUGAAAGUGUGUAUGCUGCAGGCAUGGGCAUUGGUGGUGGACGUGGUGGAGCUGAACUUCUGCCCAAUACAUAA